rnacentral:rRNA from 1 species
GACGAACGCUGGCGGCGUGCUUAACACAUGCAAGUCGAACGAAGUGGCGAACGGGUGAGUAACGCGUAAACAACCCGCCCUUCAGAGGGGGACAACAGUUGGAAACGACUGCUAAUACCGCAUACUGAAGGAGGGCAUUGCGUCUGAUUAGCUAGUUGGAGGGGUAACGGCCCACAAGGGCGAUGAUCGGUAGCCGGUCUGAGAGGAGGAGCGGCCACAUUGGGACUUAGACACGGCCCAGACUCCUACGGGAUGCAGCAGUGGGGAGUCUUCCGCCAUGGACGAAAGUCUGACUGAGCAACGCCGCGUGAGUGAGGACGGCCUUCGGGUGGUAAAGCUCUGUUAAUCGGGACGCGGUACCGGAAUAGAAAGCCACGGCUAACUACGUGCCAGCAGCCGCGGUAAUAC